rnacentral:lncRNA from 1 species
UCCGUUUCUCCCUAAUGUAAGUUUUCCCGAACAAUCUCUCAUCAUUGAAGCGUGUCUCGUCUAUUAUCGUAGUGUCAGUUUUAUGUUCAGGCACUAAGGUAAUCCUCAUAUCCUCCUUAUUCAAGGUAUUAGGAUUAAAAAUUUCAGUUUCAAUGUUUGCCUCACCAUUAGUAUUCAUGUCAAGCUCAAACACCGAGUCUUCAUUUCCUUUCCCCCCUGAAGAGGAGGAUUAAAAAAACUUUGAGACUCAAAGAAGGUAACAUCCAUCGUGACAAAAUAUUUUUGUUUGUUAGGAUCAAAACAUUUAUACCCUUUUUGAGUAGGAGAAUAGCCCAGAAAAACACAUUUUACAGCCCUUGGAUCUAGUUUAUCCCUAUUAUGAUUGUGUAUAUGUACAAAGGCAACACAUCCAAAGACCUUUAAAGGUAAAUCUAAAGUCAAACGUGUCAUUGGAAAGAAUUUUUUAAAAACGGUCAAUGGUGGCUGAAAGUUCAAAACUCUUGAUGGCAUCCUAUUAAUAAGAUAUGUAGCAGUAAGAAUUGCUUCCCCCCAUAAGUAUUUAGGAACUUUAGUGGUGAACAUUAAAGACCUAGCUACUUCUAAUAGGUGCUUAUUUUUUCGUUCUGCUAUUCCGUUUUGUUGAGGAGUGUCAUUACAAGAGCUGUGAUGAACAAUUCCUUUUUCUAAGAAAAAUGACCCCAAUAUUUGAUUAAAGUAUUCCUUCCCAUUGUCACUUUGAAAAACUUGAAUUUUUGUUUGAAAUUGUGUUUCAACCAUAUUAUAAAAGUUUUUUAAAACAUGUUCUGCUUCAGAUUUUUCUUUGAGUAGAUAGACCCAACUUAGGCGUGUAUGGUCAUCAAUAAAUGUUAUAAACCAUCUUUUUCCAAAAUUGGUGAAUGUCCUAACAUAUAUACUUCCUCUUCCAAUUCUCCAUUGAGAAACGCAUUUUUAACAUCCAAUUGAAACAAUGGCCACUCCAAAUUAACAGCUACAGAGAGUAGUAUUCGAAUGGUAUUUAGUUUGGCUACGGGAGCAAAUGUCUCUUGAUAAUCAACUCCGUAGGUCUGUGUGAAUCCUUUUGCUACUAACCUUGCUUUAUAGCGUUCCAAGGAUCCAUCUGAGUUGUAUUUCACAGUGAAAAUCCACUUGCAACCAACAAUCAAUUUUCCUUCAGGCAAAUAAACCAUCUCCCACGUUCUGUUUUUUUCUAGAGCCUCCAUUUCUUCACGAACAGCCUUCUUCCAUUCAGGAACCUUUAGCGCUUCCUGUAUAGACUUAGGUAUAUCCACACUUGACAAUUGGAAAGGGGAUGUUGAGUACAUGACCUAAUUCUUUUCCUAAGAGCAAUGGGAAGAUCUAGAGGGUCAGAAUGUACUUGUGGGAUAGAUAAAGACUCAUACUCUAUAAAUUUAGAGAUUGUACCUGGAUUUUCAGAAUCAAUGUUUUUCGGAUCUGGAAUUGGAUCAGAUUCAUGGCGUUGAGGAAGUAUCGCUGCAUCUUUCUUACUUUGAAUCCGUUUCUCCCUAGUGUAAGUUUUCCCGAACAAUCUCUCAUCAUUGAAGCGUGUCUCGUCUAUUAUCGUAGUGUCAGUUUUAUGUUCAGGCACUAAGGUAAUCCUCCUAUCCUCCUUAUUCAAGGUAUUAGGAUUAAAAAUUUCAGUUUCAAUAUUUGCCUCACCAUUAGUAUUCAUGUCAAGCUCAAACACCGAGUCUUCAUUUCCUUUCCCCCCCUGAAGAGGAGGGUUAAAAAAACUUUGAGACUCAAAGAAGGUAACAUCCAUCGUGACAAAAUAUUUUUGUUUGUUAGGAUCAAAACAUUUAUACCCUUUUUGAGUAGGAGAAUAGCCCAGAAAAACACAUUUUACAGCCCUUGGAUCUAGUUUAUCCCUAUUAUGAUUGUGUAUAUGUACAAAGGCA